rnacentral:rRNA from 1 species
UAGAGUUUGAUCAUGGCUCAGAACGAACGCUGGCGGCUGGCCUAACACAUGCAAGUCGAACGAAGCCUUCGGGCUUAGUGGCGGACGGGUUAGUAACGCGUGGGAACGUGCCCUUCACUACGGAAUAGUCCCGGGAAACUGGGUUUAAUGCCGUAUACGCCCUUCGGGGGAAAGAAUUUCGGUGAGGGAUCGGCCCGCGUUAGAUUAGAUAGUUGGUGGGGUAAUGGCCUACCAAGUCUACGAUCUAUAGCUGGUUUUAGAGGAUGAUCAGCAACACUGGGACUAAGACACGGCCCAGACUCCUACGGGAGGCAGCAGUGGGGAAUCUUGGACAAUGGGCGCAAGCCUGAUCCAGCCAUGCCGCGUGAGUGAUGAAGGCCUUAGGGUCGUAAAGCUCUUUCGCCUGUGAAGAUAAUGACUGUAGCAGGUAAAGAAACCCCGGCUAACUCCGUGCCAGCAGCCGCGGUAAUACGGAGGGGGUUAGCGUUGUUCGGAAUUACUGGGCGUAAAGCGCGCGUAGGCUGACUAUUAAGUCAGGGGUGAAAUCCCGGGGCUCAACCCCGGAACGGCCCUUGAUACUGGUAGUCUUGAGUUCGAGAGAGGUGAGUGGAAUUCCGAGUGUAGAGGU